rnacentral:misc_RNA from 1 species
CCCGUUUAUAAUUAUGUACGAAUGGAGGAAGUAGAAUCAAGCAUCUUUGUUGCUAUAUAUUAUUAAGUAUUAACCCCCGCUACAAAAUUCUCGGUUCCACUGCCGCACUAAGAAAUAGUAAAUCCAACCAGUUCAUAUUCAUCAGAGAAGAACCCAAAAAUGGCAAACCAUUUGGCACAUUUAAUCGCUUGUCUGGUUCCACCGAUUAACAGUGCUACUGGUACAUACACUGCAACCGAAUACUCUCUGGCUAGCCAAGUGACUAGGACUAUUAACACAUCAACCACGGCGUCCUCAAGCCAGCGGCGCAGGCACGAGGCUGCAGAGCAACGCGGCGAGCAAGGUCACGUUGCGGUCGGCGAGGUUCCUGGCGUACAAGGGCGACGCCGGGUAGCUGAGCAUGCCCCCGGUGCACGCAUCCAUGCCACGGAGCCCGGCCGUGUACCCCGCCUCGAGCUCCGCGGCCCGGGCGCCGCCGCCGUCGCAGCCGGCGGCGGCGAGGUCGGCGGCGACGCGCGCCAUG